rnacentral:tRNA from 2 species
GCCCAGAUGGCGGAAUUGGUAGACGCGCACGACUCAAAAUCGUGUUCCUUCGGGAGUGAGAGUUCGAUUCUCUCUCCGGGCACAA